rnacentral:rRNA from 2 species
UGGGGAAUAUUGCGCAAUGGGGGGAACCCUGACGCAGCAACGCCGCGUGAAGGAAGAAGGUCUUCGGAUUGUAAACUUCUUUGAUGAGGGACGAAUAAAGUGACGGUACCUCAAAAACAAGCCACGGCUAACUACGUGCCAGCAGCCGCGGUAAUACGUAGGUGGCGAGCGUUGUCCGGAAUUACUGGGUGUAAAGGGCGUGUAGGCGGGGAUGCAAGUCAGAUGUGAAAUACCGAGGCUUAACCUCGGGGCUGCAUCUGAAACUGUGUUUCUUGAGUGUCGGAGAGGAAAGCGGAAUUCCCAGUGUAGCGGUGAAAUGCGUAGAGAUUGGGAGGAACACCAGUGGCGAAGGCGGCUUUCUGGACGACAACUGACGCUGAGGCGCGAAAGCGUGGGGAGCAAACAGG